rnacentral:rRNA from 1 species
UACUCGAGUGGCGAACGGGUGAGUAACACGUGGGUGAUCUGCCCUGCACUUCGGGAUAAGCCUGGGAAACUGGGUCUAAUACCGGAUAGGAGCCAUUUUUAGUGUGAUGGUUGGAAAGUUUUUUCGGUGUAGGAUGAGCUCGCGGCCUAUCAGCUUGUUGGUGGGGUAAUGACCUACCAAGGCGGCGACGGGUAGCCGGCCUGAGAGGGUGGACGGCCACAUUGGGACUGAGAUACGGCCCAG